CCCCAGACUCCUACGGGAGGCAGCAGUUAGGAAUAUUCGUCAAUGGGGGAAACCCUGAACGAGCAAUGCCGCGUGAAGGAUGACGGUCCUCUGGAUUGUAAACUUCUGUUGUUAGGGAAGAACGACCUAAGUAGGAAAUGACUUAGGAGUGACGGUACCUUUCAAGAAAGCCACGGCUAACUACGUGCCAGCAGCCGCGGUAAUACGUAGGUGGCAAGCGUUGUCCGGAUUUACUGGGUGUAAAGGGCGUGCAGCCGGAGAGACAAGUCAGAUGUGAAAUCCACGGGCUCAACCCGUGAACUGCAUUUGAAACUGUUUCCCUUGAGUGUCGGAGAGGUAAUCGGAAUUCCUUGUGUAGCGGAGAAAUGCGUAGAUAUAAGGAAGAACACCAGUGGCGAAGGCGGAUUACUGGACGAUAACUGACGGUGAGGCGCGAAAGCGUGGGGAGCAAACAGGAUUAGAUACCCCAGUAGG
rnacentral:rRNA from 1 species